CUGGCGGCGCGCUUACACAUGCAAGUCGAACGAGAACGGACCUUCGGGUCCGGGAAAGUGGCGGACGGGUGAGUAACACGUGGGUUACCUGCCCUUGAGUGGGGAAUAACUCCGGGAAACUGGAGCUAAUACCGCAUACGACCCUUCGGGGUGAAAGGCUUCGGUCGCUCAAGGAUGGGCCCGCGGUCGAUUAGCUAGUUGGUAGGGUAAAGGCCUACCAAGGCACCGAUCGAUAGCCGGCCUGAGAGGGCACACGGCCACACUGGCACUGAGACACGGGCCAGACUCCUACGGGAGGCAGCAGUGGGGAAUCUUGGACAAUGGGGGAAACCCUGAUCCAGCGACGCCGCGUGACCGAUGAAGGCCUUCGGGUCGUAAAGGUCUUUCGACGGGGACAAUAAUGAUGGUACCCGUAUAAGAAGGAGCGGCUAACUACGUGCCAGCAGCCGCGGUAAUACGUAGGCUCCAAGCGUUGUUCGGAAUUACUGGGCGUAAAGCGAGUGUAGGCGGUCCGUCAAGUUGGUUGUGAAAUCUCCUGGCUCAACUGGGAGGGUGCGACCAAAACUGACGGACUGGAGUCCGGGAGAGGAGAGUGGAAUUCCUGGUGUAGCGGUGAAAUGCGUAGAUAUCAG
rnacentral:rRNA from 1 species